UACGGAGGGUGCGAGCGUUGUCCGGAAUUAUUGGGCGUAAAGAGCUCGUAGGCGGUCUGUCGCGUCGGAUGUGAAAGCCCGGGGCUUAACCCCGGGUCUGCAUUCGAUACGGGCAGACUAGAGUGUGGUAGGGGAGAUCGGAAUUCCUGGUGUAGCGGUGAAAUGCGCAGAUAUCAGGAGGAACACCGGUGGCGAAGGCGGAUCUCUGGGCCAUUACUGACGCUGAGGAGCGAAAGCGUGGGGAGCGAACAGG
rnacentral:rRNA from 1 species